rnacentral:piRNA from 1 species
UAAGUAUAAUUGAUGUGUGAAUAGCUGC